rnacentral:rRNA from 1 species
CGCCGGAGGAUUGGAAUAUGUCCUAUUAGCUAGUUGGCGGGAUAAAAGCCCACCAAGGCGAUGAUAGGUAGCUGGUCUAAGAGGAUGAACAGCCACAAUGGGAUUGAGAUACGGCCCAUAUUCCUACGGGAAGCAGCAGUAGGGAAUCUUCCACAAUGGGCGAAAGCCUGAUGGAGCAAUGCCAUGUGAACGAUGAAGGCCAGACAGGUCGUAAAGUUCUUUUAGAGGGGAAAAAUUUGAUGGUACCCUCUGAAUAAGUGACAGCAAACUAUGUGCCAGCAGCUGCGGUAAUACAUAGGUCGCGAGCGUUAUUCGGAUUUAUUGGGCGUAAAGCAAGCGCAGGCGGAUGAAUAAGUUCUGCAUUAAAAGCAGCUGCUUAACAGUUGUUUGUGCCGAAUACUAUUCAUCUAGAAUGUGGUAGGAAGUU